AUUGAACGCUGGCGGCAGGCUUAACACAUGCAAGUCGAGCGGGGAGAUGUAGCUUGCUACAUAUCCUAGCGGCGGACGGGUGAGUAAUGCUUAGGAAUCUGCCUAUUAGUGGGGGACAACAUUCCGAAAGGAAUGCUAAUACCGCAUACGCCCUACGGGGAAAAGCAGGGGAUCUUCGGACCUUGCGCUAAUAGAUGAGCCUAAGUCGGAUUAGCUAGUUGGUGGGGUAAAGGCCUACCAAGGCGACGAUCUGUAGCGGGUCUGAGAGGAUGAUCCGACAGACGGGGACCGAGAAACGGCCCAGACUCCGGCGGGAGGCAGCAGUGGGGAAGAUUGGACAAUGGGCGCAAGCCUGAUCCAGCCAUGCCGCGUGUGUGAAGAAGGCCUUUUGGUUGUAAAGCACUUUAAGCGAGGAGGAGGCUCCUUUAGUUAAUACCUAAAGAGAGUGGACGUUACUCGCAGAAUAAGCACCGGCUAACUCUGUGCCAGCCGCCGCAGUAAUAC
rnacentral:rRNA from 1 species